AGAAGACAAAUCGUCGAGGCUGAGAUGAGUUUUCUCAUCACCGCCACUGAGUCUCCGUUAUUCCCGGAUUAGCAACAGUUUGUGGACCGGUCGUCCAGCCGGGUGAACCCGCCACCAAGAAGGCGACAUGAGCGUGGAGGCGUACGGGCCGAGCUCGCAGACCCUCACGUUUCUCGACACCGAGGACGCCGAGCUGCUGGGAGCGGACACCCAGGGCUCCGAGUACGACUUCACCGACUUCACCCUGCCGAGCCAGACCCGGACCCAAGGCCAGAACCAGAGUCAGCUAAACAGCCAGGUGAACGGCCCUGACAGACUCCAGAAUGGGGACGCCUCUCUCCUGAAAGCCAGUCAGCUGCUCGCGGAGUUGAACUUUGAGGAGGAUGAGGAGGACACCAAGGACCUGCCUCUACAUGCCUGCAGCUACUGUGGCAUUCAUGAUCCAGCCUGCGUGGUCUACUGCAACACCAGCAAGAAAUGGUUUUGUAAUGGCCGUGGCAACACAUCCGGCAGCCACAUUGUAAACCACCUGGUGAGAGCAAAGUCCAAGGAGGUGACCUUGCACAAAGAUGGCCCUCUGGGGGAAACAGUGCUGGAGUGCUACAACUGUGGCUGUCGCAAUGUCUUCCUUCUGGGCUUCAUCCCUGCCAAAGCCGACUCGGUAGUGGUGCUACUGUGCAGGCAGCCAUGUGCCAGCCAGAGCAGCCUGAAGGACAUCAACUGGGACAGCUCACAGUGGCAGCCUCUCAUCCAGGACCGCUGCUUCCUGUCCUGGCUGCUGAAAAUCCCUUCAGAGCAGGAGCAGCUCAGGGCUCGUCAGAUCACCGCCCAGCAGAUCAACAAGCUGGAAGAACUCUGGAAGGAAAAUCCUACUGCGACUUUGGAGGACCUGGAGAAGCCUGGUGUGGAUGAGGAGCCCAACCAUGUGCUGCUCCGCUACGAGGACGCCUACCAGUACCAGAACAUCUUUGGUCCUCUGGUGAAGUUGGAGGCUGACUACGAUAAAAAACUCAAAGAGUCUCAGACUCAAGACAACAUCACUGUCAGAUGGGACUUGGGCCUGAAUAAAAAAAGGAUUGCUUAUUUCACUCUUCCUAAGACGGACUCGGACAUGCGACUGAUGCAGGGAGAUGAAAUUUGCCUGAGGUACAAAGGAGACCUUGCCCCUCCAUGGAAAGGCAUUGGACAUGUCAACAAAGUCCCUGAUAACUAUGGAGAUGAGAUUGCCAUAGAGCUAAGGAGCAGUGCCGGGACUCCAGUGGAGAUCCCACACAACUUUCAGGUUGACUUUGUGUGGAAGUCCACUUCCUUUGACAGGAUGCAGAGCGCCCUGAAGACGUUUGCGGUGGAUGAAACUUCAGUGUCUGGCUACAUCUACCACAAGCUGCUGGGACAUGAGGUCGAGGACGUGGUUAUAAAGUGUCAGCUGCCCAAACGCUUCACCGCUCACGGCCUGCCCGACCUUAACCACUCACAGGUGUACGCUGUGAAGACAGUGCUGCAGCGUCCUCUCAGUCUGAUCCAGGGGCCUCCUGGCACAGGGAAGACGGUAACCUCGGCGACCAUCGUCUACCACCUGGCCAGACAGGGCAACGGGCCAGUGCUGGUGUGUGCUCCCAGUAAUAUUGCAGUCGACCAGCUGACAGAGAAGAUCCAUCAGACAGGCCUCAAGGUUGUGAGGCUGUGUGCCAAGAGCAGGGAGGCUAUCGACUCGCCGGUGUCCUUCCUGGCGUUGCACAACCAGACCCAUAACAUGGACAGUAUGCCAGAACUUCAGAAGCUCCAACAGCUGAAGGACGAGACUGGAGAACUGUCCUCCUCAGACGAGAAGCGCUACAGAGCUCUGAGACGCACUGCUGAGAGGGAGCUGCUGAUGAAUGCCGAUGUGAUCUGCUGUACCUGUGUCGGGGCUGGGGAUCCUCGUCUGGCCAAGAUGCAGUUCCGAUCCAUCCUGAUUGAUGAGAGCACCCAGGCCACUGAACCCGAGUGCAUGGUGCCCGUCGUCCUGGGGGCUAAACAGUUGAUUCUGGUGGGUGAUCACUGCCAGCUGGGCCCUGUGGUGAUGUGUAAGAAGGCAGCCAAAGCAGGGCUGUCCCAGUCACUGUUUGAGCGUCUAGUAGUUUUGGGGAUCCGGCCAAUCCGUCUGCAGGUCCAGUACCGCAUGCACCCGGCCCUCAGCGCCUUCCCCUCCAACAUUUUCUAUGAGGGCUCUCUGCAGAAUGGAGUCACCGCCGCGGACCGUCUGAAGAAAGGAUUUGACUUCCAGUGGCCGCAGCCGGACAAGCCCAUGUUCUUUUAUGUCACCCAAGGCCAAGAGGAAAUAGCCAGCUCUGGAACAUCCUAUCUCAACAGGACUGAGGCAGCCAAUGUGGAGAAAAUAACCACAAGGUUGCUGAAAGCUGGAGCCAAACCCAAUCAGAUUGGCAUUAUUACGCCCUACGAGGGCCAGAGGUCCUACCUGGUCCAGUACAUGCAGUUCAGUGGCUCCCUCCACACCAAACUCUACCAGGAGGUGGAAAUAGCCAGCGUGGAUGCCUUUCAAGGCCGAGAGAAGGACUUCAUCAUCCUGUCCUGUGUGAGGGCCAAUGAGCACCAGGGCAUCGGCUUCCUCAAUGAUCCCAGACGUCUCAACGUGGCACUCACCAGGGCCAGGUAUGGUGUGAUUAUUGUGGGAAACCCCAAGGCCCUGUCCAAGCAGCCUCUGUGGAACCACCUGUUGAACUACUACAAGGAGCAGAAGGUCCUGGUUGAAGGGCCCCUUAACAAUCUGAGGGAGAGCCUCAUGCAAUUCAGCAAGCCCUGCAAGCUUGUCAACACCAUUAACCCUGGGGGUCGAUUUAUGAGCACAGCCAUGUAUGAUGCGAGGGAAGCCCUCAUUCCUGGAUCUGUUUAUGACCGCAGCAGUAACGGACAUUCGUCCAAUAUGUAUUUCCAGACCCACGACCAGAUUGGUAUGAUCGGCACAGGUCCCGGUCCUCUGACUUCCCUGAACAUCCCCAUCCCCUUCAACCUUGUGAUGCCCCCCAUACCUCCACCUGGGUACAUGGGGCAGGUCAACGGACCCUCUGCAGGUCGUGGUGGAGGAAUGAAAGGCAAGGCAGGCAGUGGAGGAGGAGGCGGGACUCGAGGUGGGCGUCAAAGAAACCGAGGCAACAUGGGAAACCACAGUGGAGGAAAUGGAGGAGCAGACCGGCGUGGAGGCCACGUGAGUGGCAGCCAGGCCAGCCAGGAUUUGGGCUCCCAGCCCUUCUCCCAGGGGCCUCUGACGCAGGGCUACAUCAACAUGAGCCAGCCUUCUCAGCUGAGCCAGCCUGGACUCUCCCAGCCUGAACUCUCACAGGACAGUUACCUAGGAGACGAGUUCAAGUCCCAGAUUGAUGUGGCUUUGUCCCAGGACUCCACCUACCAGGGGGAGCGGGCCUACCAAAACGGUGUGACCGGGCUGUCCCAGUACUAAACUGUUGCUUGAAAGGAGCUAGGCCUGUCUGAAGCUUAGUUCAAUGGCAUUUUAUUCUGGGGAAGAACAAAAAAGAACAAACACGGAAACCCGUUUUCCACUGCUACAACCGAAGCACCACCGUGUGAAAGUAACAGGAGAGAGACCGUGAGAAACCAACCAAUCACAAGAGCGAGAGCAACAAUGUGAGUAGAGCUGGACAGGAAGAGAGCGAGAGAUGAGCGAGUGCCAGGCUGCGGGAGGAGAGAGGGCUCUGCAGCUCACACGCCACGAUGGCGACGGAGAAAACUGUCGUUGACGGAGCAGCGCGGUCGGAGAGGCGAGACCUCCGACAGGUCAAGAAAGCUGGAAGGUCCGAAUGUUUCUGGAGGGGAGAAGGAGGGUGGCUGUGUCAUCUUGUCCAUCGUGCGCCUUCUGAACCCUCUGGGAUCUCCAGGCGCUAUGAUUGGGAACCUUGCUCCAAAAGCUGAGAAAGACGGAGAAGAAGUGUCUCACACAAAUGUCCUCCUCGCUAACGUGCAGGAUGUCUUCUGUGUCUUUGAGAGUGAGGGAGAAAACAAAAGAGGACACAGCUCUUGAAGCAGUUGAUAUGGCAACUAUUCAACUCAAAGGCUUUAAUUGAGGCUCUGCAUCUGAUCCCAUAAGCAUCCAGGAGAGACGAGUGUGAACACACUGUUUGGCUAUUCAAGUGAACUCCAAAGUGCUUCUGCGGUUGCGCCUCGAAGAGGUCAAGGGAAAUGAGGAUUACACAGCCACGGAUCAUUCAUUUUUCUUUCUCAGCUUUGAGCUGGAAAGUUUUCUGAAUAAAGGCUGUGUCUAAAGAUAAUCUGUGAUGUGAGCUAGUGUAGUUGGCCGUCUUUUAAAGCCGGAUUUCAAGGUAGUCUGCAAAGAAUUAGAUUCAAAAAUAUAGAAAUGUGAAAGAAAAACAUCUUUGUCUCUAGAUCUGCAGAGGUGAGCUCCAAAGAUAAUGAGUUUACUGAGACAAAUUAGUUUCUGUUAAAUGUAUCUAAAACAGUGAAAGUAAAGACCAUAACCAGCGUAUAACUGAAUUAAGAUGUUAUUCUUCUCUGCUCACCCCAAAGCCCCUAAAGCUGAGCAGACCCCCCUGAGUAUAAAUGGAGAAAUGCAUCAAGUAAGAAAUCAAGUGGGCAAUUAUUCCCAAUGCACAAAAACACAUGCAUACUUGAGAUUAUUCAUGUGCAAGUUAAGCAUCUGAUUAUCCGAGUAAAGUGAAUUACGAUUCACUUUUAUGAAAGAAAUCAUGACCUUAAGUUGUCAUGCACACGUCUACUCGGGACGAAGGAAGGUCCUUUAACGCCACAUUGUGUUGAAGAGAAACGUAAUCGUGGGUUUGACCAUGUUCCAUGGUAGUGAAUGAUAUUUAGCAUUUUGGAACGCCCUCAACAGGUUACAUCUUGUACGUGCACUGUGAAAUUUGGCCAAAAAAACUGAAGACACGCGAUGACCUUAGUGUAACAUUGUGUUCUUGUCCUAUUUAUUUUUAUUUAUUUUUAUUUAUUUAUUUACAUCUGUUGUCCUAAAGUUUUGAAUAUUGUUAUUAAUGAUAGAAAAGUGGGAAACUCUUACAAGUCGUGCAACACGUCAUGGGCUGAACAGUUAGUGCGAUAACUUUGAUAAACAUUAGUGACCUUUGUGUUUUAGUUUCACCUGAAUGUGUUGUACAUUUUCAUUUGACAUGCUUUCGAUGGACACUACUGACGUUUACAUUAAGCUUGUUUUCAUCAGUAUCUAAUUUUAUUAUGAGGUGUACUAACUACUUGUGUUUUCAUACCAUUGAAAAAAAUAAUUGUCAAAGCUGUCGUCGUGUUCAUGAUGAGCUACCGCUCCUGUUAAGUUGUAAUAGUUUAUUUUGAUAACAUCUGCAGAGGUCUUAUGGUUUAAAUUAAUACAUAUAGAAAGAUAUUAUAAUAGACAAUAUUAAGGAGAAUAUUGAUAUUGUUAUUCAUGUAUUAUGAAGCAUAGGGGUAAUGUUUACUCUAUGCAAAUGUAAAUGGCAAGAAUUAAUGUAUAUUGCAUGAGAGUGACUGUAUGUUAGUAUAAUACAUUGACGAAGCCGGUUGAAAUCCGUGAAGUGACUCACAAUUACAAGAGACUUUUAUUGUGAAGGUGACUUUACAAGACGGGAAUCUUAUUGUGAAAGCGACUGAAACCGGAAGUGACGGUUUUGACCGUAAACAGGAAGGGUAUGAGACUCCGUCGUGUUUUGGAGAGAUUCAUUCUCUUGCUCAGACUCGCGCAGCUGUAGCGGGUGCUCGGAGCCUGUGGAGCCAGCAGGUGGUACUCUACUGUCAGGCUGUGUCCGACUGUUGAAUGCGGACAGCCGGCUGGUUGAAGAGCGAUCUGACCACCGGGACGAGGUCAGACGGAAGAAAGGAAAGCGGCGUCUUUACCCGGGAGGAGACCGCGGGCACUCCAGUCACCGAGGGGCGCAGGUUUGCCUCCGCCGGGUGGUGACUCUCCGGGCUCCGCAGAGGUGACCGGUGGCCGCCGGUGGCCAGCAGGCUCGGUGCAGCGUCUUGCAGUUAUUGCGCUCUCGAGAAUAAAGGAGAGGAGAAGAGUGGGACGCGGGAUUAUUGUUGGCUGCAACACGGACUCAUCAAGGGUUUACACCGAAAUUGG